GCCCCUAUCGUCUAGUGGUCCAGGACGCCGCCCUCUCACGGCGGUAACGCGGGUUCAAAUCCCGCUGGGGGUACCA
rnacentral:tRNA from 2 species